rnacentral:rRNA from 1 species
UCUUGGCCAGCCUUCUGAAAGGGAGAUUAAUACAAGAUGUUAUCAUGAGUAAGCAUUUUCGCAUGAUUAAAGGUUUACCGGUGUAAGAUGGGGAUGCGUUCCAUUAGAUAGUAGGCGGGGUAACGGCCCACCUAGUCUUCGAUGGAUAGGGGUUCUGAGAGGAAGGUCCCCCACAUUGGAACUGAGACACGGUCCAAACUCCUACGGGAGGCAGCAGUGAGGAAUAUUGGUCAAUGGACGAGAGUCUGAACCAGCCAAGUAGCGUGAAGGAUGAAGGUUCUAUGGAUUGUAAACUUCUUUUAUACGGGAAUAAACGAAUCCACGCGUGGAUUUUUGCAUGUACCGUAUGAAUAAGGAUCGGCUAACUCCGUGCCAGCAGCCGCGGUAAUACGGAGGAUCCGAGCGUUAUCCGGAUUUAUUGGGUUUAAAGGGAGCGUAGAUGGGUUGUUAAGUCAGUUGUGAAAGUUUGCGGCUCAACCGUAAAAUUGCAAUUGAUACUGGCAGUCUUGAGUACAGUUGAGGCAGGCGGAAUUCGUGGUGUAGCGGUGAAAUGCUUAGAUAUCACGAAGAACUCCGAUUGCGAAGGCAGCUUACUAACCUGUAACUAACAUUGAUGCUCGAAAGUGUGGGUAUCAAACAGGAUUAGAUACCCUGGUAGUCCACACGGUAAACGAUGAAUACUCGCUGUAGGCGAUAUACAGUCUGCGGCCAAGCGAAAGCAUUAAGUAUUCCACCUGGGGAGUACGCCGGCAACGGUGAAACUCAAAGGAAUUGACGGGGGCCCGCACAAGCGGAGGAACAUGUGGUUUAAUUCGAUGAUACGCGAGGAACCUUACCCGGGCCUAAAUUGCAACCGAAUAUGGCGGAAACGCUAUAGCUAGCAAUAGCGGUUGUGAAGGUGCUGCAUGGUUGUCGUCAGCUCGUGCCGUGAGGUGUCGGCUUAAGUGCCAUAACGAGCGCAACCCUUGCCGAUAGUUACUAACAGGUUAUGCUGAGGACUCUGUCGGGACUGCCAUCGUAAGAUGUGAGGAAGGGNGGGGAUGACGUC